rnacentral:rRNA from 1 species
GGUUUGAUCAUGGCUCGGGGUGAACGCUGGCAGGAUGCUUUACACAUGCAGUCGAACGGCAGCACGGACUUCGGUCUGGUGGCGAGUGGCGAACGGGUGAGUAAUGUAUCCAGAACGUGCCUAGUAGCGGGGGAUAACUACGCGAAAGCGUAGCUAAUACCACAUACGCCCUUCGGGGAAAGCGGGGACCUUCGGGCUGCACUAUUAGAACGGCCGAUAUCAGGGUCUUGGUUGGUGGGGUAACGGCUCACCAAGGCGACGAUCCGUAGCUGGUUUGAGGAAGGACGACAGCCACACUGGAUGAGACACGGCCCAGACUCCUACGGGAGGCAGCAGUGAAAUUUUGGACAAUGGAAACCUGAUCCAGCCAUCCCGCGUGUGCGAUGAAGGCCUUCGGGUUGUAAAGCACUUUUGGCAGGAAAGAAACGGCACGGGAUAAUACCCCCGUGCAACUGACUGAUACCUGCAGAAUAAGCACCGGCUAACUACGUGCCAGCAGCCGCGGUAAUACGUAGGGUGCAAGCGUUAAUCGGAAUUACUGGGCGUAAAGCGUGCGCAGGCGGUUCCGGAAAAGAAAGAUGUGAAAUCCCAGAGCUUAACUUUGGAACUGCAUUUUUAACUACCUCGAGCUAGAGUGUGCUCAGAGGGAGGUGGAAUUCUGCGUGUAGCAGGAGAAUGCGUAGAUAUGCGGAGGAGCACCGAUGGUGAAGCAGCCUCCUGGGAUAACACUGACGCUCAUGCUGAAAAGCGUGGGGGCAAGCGGGAUUAGAUACCACUGGUGAUCCACUAACGAAAUGUCCAACUAGCUGUUACAGGGCCUUCCGGGCCUUGGUAGCGCAGCUAACGCGUGAGGAUUGACGCCUGGGAGGUACGGUCGCAAGAUUAAAACUCAAAGGAAUUGACGGGGACCCGCACAAGCGGUGGAUGAUGUGGAUUAAUUCGAUGCAACGCGAAAAACCUUACCUACCCUUGACAUGUCUGGAAUCCGAAGAGAUUUGGGAGUGCUCGCAAGAGAACCGGAACACAGGUGCACCAUGGCUGUCGUCAGCUCGUGUGUUGAGAUGUUGGGUUAAGUCCGCAACGAGCGCAACCCUUGUCAUUAGUUGCUACGAAAGGGCACUCCUAAUGAGACUGCGCAGUGACAAACCGGAGGAAGGUGGGGACAGCGUCAAGUCCUCAUGGCCCUUAUGGGUAGGGCUUCACCUCAUACAAUGGUCGGGACAGAGGGUCGCCAACCUUGCGAGAGGAGCCAAUCCCAGAAACCCGAUCGUAGUCCGGAUCGCAGUCUGCAACUCGACUGCGUGAAGUCGGAAUCGCUAGUAAUCGCGGAUCAGCAUGUCGCGGUGAAUACGUUCCCGGGUCUUGUACACACCGCCCGUCACACCAUGGGAGUGGGUUUUACCAAGUAGUUAGCCUAACCGUAAGGAGGGCGAUUACCACGGUAAGUUCAUGACUGGGGUGAAGUCGUAACAAGGUAG